rnacentral:lncRNA from 1 species
ACUCCAGAGCCAAUGUAGCUAUUCCGAUGCUCUAAGAUCUGCUCUCUGCAAUGCCCAAACUGACCCCAAUUGCCUUUCUCUAGACCCACUUCUCCACCGUGGGAGAAGUGAUGGAAUUCUACUUGGAGAUCGACCCUGUUACCUUGAACCUGAUCAUCCUAGUUGCGAGCUACGUCAUCUUGCUCCUGGUCUUCCUCAUCUCCUGCGUGCUAUACGACUGCCGAGGCAAGGAUCCCAGUAAGGAGUACGCGCCCGAGGCCACUCUCGAGGCCCAGCCCUCCAUCCGGUUGGUGGUGAUGCACCCAAGUGUCGCUGGGCCCCACUGGCCAAAGGGGCCUGGCCUUUCUUUGGGGGAUCCUGCUCCACUAGGAAAGAAAAGCACCAUGGUAUGAGGCUGGCUAAGGGACACUGGGGAGAGACCACUAGACUUUCCAUAGAGACAAACUGCUCCCUAUCGUGGCUCCAAUUCUCUCAGCACAUGUAUCCCGCUUGAUGAAGGAAGUGAGAGCUCUGUCUUACUUGCUGUUUUCUCGUCACCUUCUUUGUGACAAAAGUAACUGUUUAAGGUGUCUGAGGAGCUCCACAAAGGUGUCUUAAGAGACACUGCAAAGAAACAAGGUGAUGGAACUGACUGGCCCCAAUAGAAAUUAGACUGACAGCUAAUAAAAAGAAGCUUUUGAAUCUAUAGCUCUUAACAAGCCCCACUGCUCUUUCUGCCUGCUGUGGCUUACUGUCAUGGGAAACCAUCCUUAGGGACAUUUCGUGGCCUCUGGAUGUGGGCAGACAUUAUAACAAACACUGUAACACUCAACUGCAUCUCCCUGAUGGCCUCAUUUCCCCCUUCUGUUACUAUGCAUUCCACUGCAGCAGAGCUAGUAAUUGCAACUAAUUAACUUAAGAAUAGCCUUGAGAUAAAAACAAAAGCACUUACACGGAGCAAGUCAGCAGGUUGGACUUACGCAAAAGAACUUGCUGCUUAAGAGGAAACUGAACUUUGGCUUCCAGCCCUUGGCACCUCCGAUACCACCAAGUCCAUGAACUGUGGCUUUUCUGUUGAGCAGACCCGGGGUGCUUCCUAUACAGCUGAGAGAAUCACUUCAAUGAAAGCUCCUCCUCCUGCCCACUCUCUCGGCCUGGAAAGGAACAGGAACGUUGUGGAUCAUCACCACUCAGGGUGCGAUGAAGAGGAGCUCCGAAAUGAAGAAAAUGGAAGAUGACAACUCAAGCUACAGGUUCUGUGCUUGAGAACUCCAAGAGGAAAGGAAUAUGAUGUCUGGACUUGUCCUUAUUCAUCAUUUAGCUCAACUUUUCAGAAUGUGAUUAUUUGUAACUUCUUUUGUCCUACAUUUAUCAUGGACCCCUGCUUGGUAACCUGCAAACUCCCACACGUAGCAUCUAAAUUUCUCCAUACGCUGGCCCUAACUUCUCAUUCAAACCAGACUCCAGCCGCUCCCAAACUUGAAGCCUCCCUUCUAACCAAAUGACUCCAAAAUAUGUGUGGCACUUUCUUUUUUUUUUUUUUUUUUUUUUUUUGAGACGGAGUCUUGAUCUUGUUGCCCAGGCUGGAGUACAGUAGUGCAAUCUCAGCUCACUGCAACCUCUGCCUCCCAGGUUCAAGCGAUUCUCCUACCUCAGCCUCCCUAGUAGCUGGGAUUACAGGUGCCCGCCACCAUGCCAGGCUAAUUUUGCAUUUUUAGUAGAGACAGGGUUUUACCAUGUUGGUCAGGCUGGUCUUAAACUCCCAACCUCAGGUGAUCCGCCCACCUCGGCCUCCCAAAGUGCUGAGAUUACAAGCGUGGUGAGCCACCAUGCCCUGCCAGCACUUUCUUAUCUUCCUGUCUCCUGGCUCAAAGCACUUCCCUACUGGAAUCCCAUUAUAACAAAAUAUAGGUGAAAGGGCACCCAUCCUGCAGUCCAGUGGAUCUAAAUCACCUAUGCAGAGACUGGCUUCAUCAAAACCAUCUAAGGACCUUAUUAGAGACUCUGAGCUCUACUGCUAGAUGGUUCUCCUGCACAGCCAAGUUUGGGAACCCCUAAUAGCCCAAACUCACUUGGCCAGUGCAGAACUCUCCUCUAUACCAUUCUAAGACACAGAAACCAGUCUCUGCUUGAACAUUCACUGUGGUCUGGAAAUCACCACCUGAUGAAAGAACUUAAUUCCAUUUUUAAACAAAGCUAAUUGUCAAAAAUUUAUGCCAUGUGUUGAGGCAAUGUCAUCUUCUCUGCAUAUCCCACUAUUUGACCUAAUUCUGUCAUAUGCAUCUACCCAACAUAAGCACAAUAACUCCUCCAACAGCAAUUGUUCAAAUAUCUAAAGAUAGACAUAAUAUCCCAUACACACCACACCCCAACUCCUAAGUCUUCAAAUCUUCUGGCUAAACCACUCUAAUUCCUCCAAAUGUAAAUGAUAAUUGCUCAUCAUGAUCAUAGUCCUUGGCAUAAUCCAUGAAAUAGAUACUAUUAUUAUUUCCAUUACAUAGACAAGUAAACUGAGGCUGUGAGAAGUUAAAUAACUUCCCCAAGGUGACAUAGUAAGUGUCAGAACUUGGGUCUGAAUAAGCCUGUCUGACUCCAAAAUGAUAUUAUUACACUUUACUGUGCUGUCCCUAAUUUGUUCAUUUUGUUUGAACAGUCUCCAAUUUUAAUAUUGCUCAUUCAAUGUCGUACUCAGAAUGGAGCAGAUUGUUUAUGAACUUGUCUGCCCAACACAGAGCACAGAGCUCUCUUGCUGCCCACUGUACACUUCUAUUCAUGUAGUCCGAGAUGAUCUUGGUAUUUCCCGGCAGCUCCAUCACACAGUCGACUGAUAUCAAUUAAAAUGCUUCAAUUUAUUUUCAGGUGAACUGCUAUAAAGUCAGGUAUUAUUUCCAUUUUAUCAAUUGCCUAUGGUUUGCAAAUCCAAGAACUAUGGACUAAAGAUACUGGAAUGGAUACAAUGUUAAGACAAGGCACACCUGCUCUCAAAGGAGCGAAUGAAAGAAAAGGGAAGGAAAAGAUUGAGUGGAAAAGAUUAGGGAACUGGUUCCCAUCUUUAUCAAUAGCAUUUGUGUAACUGUCAGGUGGAGAGAGCUUAGGGAGGCCCAAUCCUUUUUCAACUCUGUGAUAAUUGUUACUUUGUGACUAUGUAAUCCCUAUAACUAGAGCCUGAACAGAAGAACAGAUCAGAUGCUUAAAGCUACCAUUCUAUGUUUCUUAUCCUGUGCCUUUUAAACCUGAGUUGAAGACUUUCCUUCUGUGUGUACUGAGUUAUACCUUAUGUAUUUAUCUUGUGAGCCUUGGCCCAUCUUUCCAAACUCUAGAAUUUUUUUUUUUUAAUUUUGUUUUUUAACCUGAUUCUGUCAUACAAUGUCUUGGUCAACACUACCAGAUCUGAACAUCCUACAAGUGGAAUUAACAUGCCCUCUAUGUUCCAGAUGAAAGCACUGAAUGGGAACUGACCCUAGACAAGUAGCACUGCAAUAGAUACAAGCUCAAUUCAGGAAAGGCCUAGGUCGAGCUUGUUCAUUAACUGUCCAUCACAUGGCACAGGGCUCCACGUGGAAUCAAUACCAUAUUGAGCCUUGUAUAAAUCAAUCAAUUAAUUAAUUAAGAUCCUUCUCCAGUUUCAAGCCAUAGAAUAGUAGAAUAUCCUAGGUGGACAUGACCUGAAAAGUCAUUUAACAUCCUCUUUUUUGUUUUGUUUUGUUUCAUUUUUUUGAGACAGGGCCUUGCUUUGUCACCCAGGCUGGAGUGCAGUGGCGUGAUCUCAGAUCACUGCAACCUCUGCCUCCUGGGUUCAGGCAAUUCUCAUGCCUCAGCCUCUCGAGUAGCUAGGAUACAGGAACAUGCCUCCACACCAGGCUAAUUUUUGUAUUUUUAGUAGAGUCUGGGUUUUGCCAUGUUGAUCAGGCUAGUCUUGAACUCCUGGCCUCAAGUGAUCCCCCUGUCUUAGCCUCCCAAAGUGCUGAGAUUACAGGUGCCCGGCCUUCAACAUCCUCUUUUCUUAUAGUCAGAAAAUGAAACCCCAAAAGGAGCAACUAGUGACCUCAAGUACCUACUUUGGGGAGAAAAAAAAACACAGAUUACCCAGGCUUCCUGUUUCUGAAUGCAGAGCACUUUCCACCAUACCAACCCACGGACUUACUAAUCAACAUUCUCCUAUUAUAUUUGUCUACCCUUUAACUGUACUACAGUAGUCCCCUCUUAUUCUCAGUACAGUAUAAUAAGAGACCACAUUUACGUAACUUUCAUUACAGAAUAUUGUUAUAUUAUUAUUAUUUAGAAACAGGGUCUCGCUCUUGUCACCCAGGCAGGAAUGCAGUGGCAAAGUCAUAACUCUGCUGCCUCAAACUCCUGGGGUCCAGCAAUCCUCUUGCCUCAGCCAAGUAACUGAGUUACAGGCUUGUGCCACCAUGGCUGACAAUUUUUUUUAUUUCUUUUUUUAGGGAUGGGUUCUCACUAUGUUGCCCAGGCUGGCUUUGAAUUCCUAGGCUCAAGCAAUCUUCCCACCUCAGCCUCCCAAAGUGCUGGGAUUACAGGUGUGAGCCACCGUGUCCGGCCUUAUUAUUAGUUAUUGUUAUUAGUCUCUUACUGUGCCUAAUUUAUAAAUUAAGCUUUAUCAUAGACAUUAUGUAUAGGAAAAAUAAUAGUAUAUAUUGAGUUCAGAACUACAUAAAGUUUAAGGUAUCCACUGGAAGUCUUAGAACAUACCCCUGAGGAUAAGGGGUGGGGGGCAGUUAUGUAUUAUUACAUAGCCUGGAGGAUCAUGUGGAACUCCAAUUAGAAAAGAAAAAAUACCUUUUCCUUCUGACUCAGAGGCCAAAUGUUCUUGGGUAAAUGAAGAUAAAUCCCCAGCUUAGAUAUCAAAUUUAUCAUCAUGUGGGAAAGGCCUCUUUAACAGAGAGUUUUCCAGCUUUCUGGGGGUUGGGAGGAGUCUUCUAUCAUUCCUCAGACACAGUAAUUGGCCUUCAAAGGACCUCUCCACAUCUGAGGCUCAUAACCCCAGAGGCCUGAGUAUUCUGUCUCUGGGCCUGACCUAUUUUAGAUUGUGCAUUCUAACCCACAGUAAAUAUUAAAGUGUUAUGAAUUGUUGAGCACCUAACAAGUGCUAGUCCCUUAAAAAACUAAAGUAUGGCUUUAGUUCUUUAUUUCAAAUCCUCAUGACAACGCUGCAUGCCAGAUUUUUAAAAAUUUGUAUGUAUUUAUUUAUUUUUAUUUAUUUAUUUAGAGACAUAAUCUCACUCUGUUGCCCAGGCUGGAGUGCAGUGGUUCUGUCAUAGCUCACUGCAACUUCAAAUUCCUAGGCUCAAAUGAUCCUCCCACUUCAGCCUCCUGAGUUACUAAGACUACAGGCACAUGCCACCUGGCUAAUUUUUUAAAUUUUUGUAGGGAUGAGGUCUUGCUACGUUGCUAAGGCUGGUCUUGAAUUCCUGGCCUCAAAUGAUCCUCCUGCCUUGGCCUCCCAAAGUGCUGAGAUUACAGGCAUAAGCCACCAUGCCCUGCACAUGGCAGCUUUUAUUAGCCCAUUUUUCAGAUGAGGAAAUGAACAGCCAGAGGUUAAUUAACUUAAUGCUUAUAUUAACUUUAUAUACUUCUUAUUAAGUAUUAAUAAGUAUUAAUUAACUUAAUACUUAUAUUAACUUCAUACUUUUAAGUAUUAAGUGGGGAAGUCAAUAUUCAAACCCAAGUCUAUCCAUCUAAAACCAAGAUUUAAUCCAAGGCCAUACACUUUCCACAACAUCAAACUGCUUGCCCUAAAAUCUGUCCAAAAUUAUUUCAAGCUAGACCUUUAACUAUCUUCUUAACAAGUUACCCAGAAAAAUAUGAAUUUGCCUAUCACCAUAUCUACAAUCUUUCCCAUUUGUUACUCCAGAUCAGUGGCUCAGUGGAUCCCUAAUGUAACCUACAUUUGCAGCCUUCUUCCGUAAGAAUUCUCUGCCCUGAAUUGUUCUAUUGACUAACCACAUUACAGAAUCAAAAACAGUAUGAUUUCAAGGAGACAUUUAACUCAUUCAAUACCACCACUGGUGGGAGUCUGUACUUUCUGGUUUUUGGUUUUUGUUUUUGCUUUUUUGCCUCAUUAAAGAAAUGAAGAUCAUAAAAAUGAAUUAUGUUUUUCUGGAAAUUCAUAGAAAUGUGUUUGCUUUCUGUGUUUAAAUAUACAGUAUAAUUUAUACAUAAAUAAUUUACUUAUGUUUUUUCUUUGUUUUUGUAUUUGUUUUUGUUUUUUUGAGACAGGGUUUCACUCUGUUGUCCAGGCUGAAGUGCAGUGGCAUGAUCACAGCUCACUACAGCCUGGCACUCCUGGACUCAAGCAACUCUCCUGCUUCUCUAUAAUCAGUCCUCUUCCCCACCACAGUCCCUGGCAAUCACUGAUCUGAUUUCUGUCCCUAUAGUUUCACCUUUUCCAGAAUGUCCUGUAAAUGGGAUUGUACAGUACAUAGCCUGUUGAGUAUGGCUUUUCCAUUUAGUAUUAUGUGUUGAGAUUUAUCCAUGUUGUUGCAUGGAUAAUCAUUUCUUUUUAGCAAGGAUAUUUUGAGAGUGUAUAAGCAAGAGAAAAGACAGAAGGAAGAAAAAUAGGACAAUGCUUUGGGGGAGUAAGGUGAUGUUGAGUCAAGAAUCAGGUGUUUGGAAAAUUGAACGCACUCAAAAUAUGGUGCAAAUAAUUAUUGUAGAUUUUUUCCCAAAGUCUAAUGUACACAAAUCUCUCCCUUCUACCUCUCCUGGGCUUUAGGUUAGAGUUAAUUAUACUUCUCAGUUCCCAAUAUCUUAUUACCUUCAGUCUGUGCAAGGCCACACUCCUGCUUAAUUUUAUUAUGUUUCUUAAGUUAUUCUCUACACAAGUACAAAUCUCCUUCUCCCAGAUUUUCUCUUUAGCUCACUUGUUCACUAUAUGUGCUUAGGUACACAUGGAUUCUUAAAUCCUACAUAGUGCUAAUUCAUGUAUUUAUGGUUUUUUUUGUUUUUGUUUUUUUGAGACAGGGUCUCACUCUGUCACCCAGGCUGCAGUGCAGUGGCACAGUCUCGGCUCACUGGAAGCUCCGCCUCCUGGGUUCACGCCAUUCUCCUGCCUCAGCCUCCCGAGUAGCUGGGACUACAGGCACCCACCACCAUGC